UCCUGACCCCUCCCCGCCAGCGGCGGGAGGGCCGUGUGCCUCCGGGCUCCUGUACCGUCCUGGGAAGACGGACUGGAGCGAGCGGCAGAGAGCGCGCAGGGCCAGGCAUCUUCCGGCCCCUGCGGCCGCCGGGGGCGCGUACAGCCCCGCGGGUGGAAGGAGGGCACCCGCCGCCGGAGCCUGCGGGCGCAUCCCGCGCGUUCACGGGGCACCCAGCGCGAGCUGGGCGCGGGGAUCCCACGUGUGAAAAAGGAGGAAAUACAUUCAGACGUGCGAUGUGGCCGGAGAUGAGACUGGAGACGUCAGCAGAGGCUAAUCGCCGAGUCCUUGAAGGGUCUGAGGCCAAAGAUGGGGGCAGGGCAGGUCCACGUGACAAGGUGCACGGCGUGGUCAUGAGGAGCGGCUGACGUGAAAUGGGGAAGGUGACUGGAGUCCCAUAAUCUGCGCCAGGCACGGCGGGACACCCUCAAGCAGCUUCCAGCCACGAGAGCAGACGUGCAGGCGGCUUGGCCCGGUGCCACAGCCGGAGCCGUGAGAAGACGGUGCGGGCAGGGGAAACUCGCUGCCAGGAGCGCGGCUGCACAGAGGAGAGCGGUGCAGGCUCCCGGGCACAGAGCAACCCACGCAGAGGCUGUGGCUCACAGCCUGCCUUUGUGCACAGAGUAGACAAAACAGUAGUCGUAAGACAGGCCAAACCAACGUCUGCAGCCACGGCUCAGGACUGCAGGCCUGCCUCUGCAGGGACAGCGAGCAGAGAAGACCAUGAGGGGCCUCGGGUGCUGUGAUGUCCUGUUCCUUGAUCUGGCUGCUGGUUAGACAAGUGUGUUGUUUGCGAAAAGGAAGCCGUAUGUACCACUUACAAACGUGCACUUUUCUCUAUGUUUAUCACAGUUCAAUAAAAAAUUUUAAAGACGACACAACAGUGCCCUGAAAGCAGCAGUGCGACACCAGGUGGCUGUAGCAGUGUGAUCUAGAGCAAUGCACUUCCCUGCUCUGAGCCUCAGGUGGUCUUUUAAUUUGGGGCGACCUUGCUUUGCUUUCUUCCUAAGCUGUUAUGAAAGUCAAAUUAUGAGACCAAGCAACAACGACAGCAACAGACUACGUUCCAAACCCGUUGCAUCUCACUGUCCCCACAAAACCACAAGGCAGGCACCACCACUGUCACAGCAGACAAGGAAACUGAGGCUGAGAGAGGGGCAUAAUUUGCCCACAGUCAUAUCCUGGAGGUGGUGCAGCUGAGACUCAAACCCAGGCCAUCUAUCUGGUGGUGUAGCUGGAGGGUGCAUGACACCAGCCACUGGGGCAAGAAAAUAAAGAGAAGUCCUAUUUCUGUUCAGUUUACUCUGAGUAUUCACGUUUUACCACUUAGUACACCUGUGACCCUGAUGAUGCCCUCCCUCAGUCUGCGCUGAGCCUGGUGUCUGAGCUAAGGGAUGAGGUGCAGUGGGGGGAGAGCAGGCUUCCACACCAGCCAAGGCUGACAGCGGCCUCGCUCCCUCUCAGGCCUGCAGGCUAGACAGCCUGCUUAAGUGGGUUUCUGGAUCCCUUUGGAUAGGAUCUUGACAACACUUUUAUAAAGUAUAUAAAGUGAAAUGGGGAGUGAUCAUGAAAAUCUUUUACACCCUUCAGAGGUUUAUUGUGGUUUUUCUGCACUUAAAAAGAUGGAAACAGAAUUUCCUAACCUGCUUUACAAUCUGUCAAAUAAACAAUUUCAGUGGGUUUUGAACCUAUUUGUUAAAAAUAUUAAAAACGGGGGC